rnacentral:rRNA from 1 species
AAUCAACGCUGGCGGCGUGCCUCAGACAUGCAAGUCGAACGAUUAAAGCUCUCUUCGGAGAGUGUAUAGAGUGGCGCACGGGUGAGUAACACGUAAGUAAUCUACCUUUGAGUGGGGAAUAACCCGGGGAAACCCGAGCUAAUACCGCAUAAUGCAGCGGCACCGCAAGGUGACAGUUGUUAAAGGAGCAAUCCGCUUAAAGAGGAGCUUGCGGCAGAUUAGCUAGNGGUAAGGUAAUGGCUUACCAAGGCUUCGAUCUGUAUCCGGCCUGAGAGGGCGGUCGGACACACUGACACUGAAUAACGGGUCAGACUCCUACGGGAGGCAGCAGUCGGGAAUUUGGGCAAUGGGCGAAAGCCUGACCCAGCAACGCCGCGUGAAGGAUGAAGUAUUUCGGUAUGUAAACUUCGAAAGAAUGGGAAGAAUCAAUGACGGUACCAUUUAUAAGGUCCGGCUAACUACGUGCCAGCCGCCGCUGUAAC